rnacentral:rRNA from 1 species
GACGAACGCUGGCGGCGUGCCUAAUACAUGCAAGUAGAACGCUGAAGGAGGAGCUUGCUUCUCUGGAUGAGUUGCGAACGGGUGAGUAACGCGUAGGUAACCUGCCUGGUAGCGGGGGAUAACUAUUGGAAACGAUAGCUAAUACCGCAUAAUAGUAGAUGUUGCAUGACAUUUGCUUAAAAGGUGCAAUUGCAUCACUACCAGAUGGACCUGCGUUGUAUUAGCUAGUUGGUGGGGUAACGGCUCACCAAGGCGACGAUACAUAGCCGACCUGAGAGGGUGAGCGGCCACACUGGGACUGAGACACGGCCCAGACGCCUACGGGAGGCAGCAGUAGGGAAUCUUCGGCAAUGGACGGAAGUCUGACCGAGCAACGCCGCGUGAGUGAAGAAGGUUUUCGGAUCGUAAAGCUCUGUUGUAAGAGAAGAACGAGUGUGAGAGUGGAAAGUUCACACUGUGACGGUAUCUGACCAGAAAGGGACGGCUAACUACGUG